GCACUUUAAGCAGUGAAGAAGACCCCGUGGUUAAUACCCACGGACGAUGACAUUAGCUGCAGAAUAAGCACCGGCUAACUCUGUGCCAGCAGCCGCGGUAAUACAGAGGGUGCAAGCGUUAAUCGGAAUUACUGGGCGUAAAGAGAGCGUAGGUGGCUCUAUAAGUCAGAUGUGAAAUCCCCGGGCUCAACCUGGGAACUGCAUCUGAAACUGUAGAGCUAGAGUAUGUGAGAGGAAGGUAGAAUUCCAGGUGUAGCGGUGAAAUGCGUAGAGAUCUGGAGGAAUACCGAUGGCGAAGGCAGCCUUCUGGCAUAAUACUGACACUGAGGCUCGAAAGCGUGGGUAGCAAACAGGAUUAGAUACCCUGGUAGUCCACGCCGUAAACGAUGUCUACUAGUCGUUGG
rnacentral:rRNA from 1 species